UACGUAGGGGGCUAGCGUUGUCCGGAAUCAUUGGGCGUAAAGCGCGUGUAGGCGGCCCGGUAAGUCCGCUGUGAAAGUCAAAGGCUCAACCUUUGAACGCCGAUGGAUACUGCCGGGCUAGAGUCCGGAAGAGGCGAGUGGAAUUCCUGGUGUAGCGGUGGAAUGCGCAGAUAUCAGGAGGAACACCAAUAGCGAAGGCAGCUCGCUGGGACGGUACUGACGCUGAGGCGCGAAAGCGUGGGGAGCGAACAGG
rnacentral:rRNA from 1 species